rnacentral:rRNA from 1 species
UACGGAAGGCAGCAGUGGGGAAUAUUGCACAAUGGGCGAAAGCCUGAUGCAGCUAUGCCGCGUGUAUGAAGAAGGCCUUAGGGUUGUAAAGUACUUUCAUCGGGGAGGAAAAAACAAAACUAAUAAUUUUAUUUCUUGACGUUACCCGAAAAAGAAGCACCGGCUAACUCCGUGCCAGCAGCCGCGGUAAUACGGAGGGUGCUAGCGUUAAUCAGAAUUACUGGGCGUAAAGAGCACGUAGGUGGUUUUUUUAAGUCAGAUGUGAAAUCCCUGGGCUUAACCUAGGAACUGCAUUUUGAAACUGAAAUACUAGAGUAUCGUAGAGGGAGGUAGAAUUCUAGGUGUAGCGGUGAAAUGCGUAGAUAUCUGGAGGAAUACCUGUGGCGAAAGCGGCCUCCUAAACGAAUACUGACACUGAGGUGCGAAAGCGUGGGGAGCAAACAGGGAUUAAGAUACC